ensembl:lncRNA
GCUAUGUGGAGCUAUAUGGAAUCAUGUGGCAUCAGAUCAACUUGAGUGUUGUGUGGUCUUUUGCAGGACCCCCAUCUGAACCGGUUCUUCCAACAGUGCCAAAAACGCGAGGCAGACCUCUCGCUCCCACCUACCUCAAACUUCCUCAGCUGCCUGAAGGGCCUCCUUAGCAUGGAGAGGAACCAUGUGAUCAUUCGCUUCCUGCCAGUCCUCUUCAACCAGCUGUUCAAAGUCCUCACGCAGAAUGACACGGAUGACGUCACCACUGCCACCACCAGGGUCCUGGUGCAUAUCCUCGCCAAGUGCCAUGAAGUAAACCUCGAC